rnacentral:rRNA from 1 species
AUUGAACGCUGGCGGCAGGCCUAACACAUGCAAGUCGAACGAGUGGCGGACGGGUGAGUAAUGUCUGGGAAACUGCCUGAUGGAGGGGGAUAACUACUGGAAACGGUAGCUAAUACCGCAUACCAUCGGAUGUGCCCAGAUGGGAUUAGCUAGUAGGUGGGGUAACGGCUCACCUAGGCGACGAUCCCUAGAUGGUCGGAGAGGAUGACCAGCCACACGGGAACUGAGACACGGUCAAGACCCCUAGGUGAGGACGCAGUGGGGAAUAUUGCACAAUGGGCGCAAGCCUGAUGCAGCCAUGCCGCGUGUAUGAAGAAGGCCUGCGGGUUGUAAAGUACGUUCAGCGGGGAGGCGUUACCCGCAGAAGAAGCACCGGCUAACUCCGUGCCAGCAGCCGCGGUAAUUC